GAUGAACGCUGGCGGCGUGCCUAAUACAUGCAAGUCGCGCGAAGCGGGGACGGGGGCGUAACACGUGCCUAACCUCCUAUAAGACUGGGAUAACUUCGGGAAACCGCAGCUAAACACGCUACUUCAAGAUGAAUCCGCGCUGCAUUAGAUAGUUGGUAAGUGAACGGCUUACAAAGGCAACGAUGCAUAGCCGACCUGAGAGGGUGAUCUGCCACACUGGAACUGAGACACGGUCCAGACUCCUACGGGAGGCAGCAGUAGGGAAUCUUCCGCAAUGGGCGAGAGCCUGAUGGGGCAACGCCGCGUGAGUGAUGAAGGUCUUCGGAUCGUAAAACUCUGUUAUUAGGGAAGCGGUACCUAAUCAGAAAGCCACGGCUAACUACGUGCCAGCAGCCGCGGUAAUAC
rnacentral:rRNA from 1 species